CUACGGGGGGCACCAGCCGAGAAUCUUCCCCAAUGGACGAAAGUCUGAGGGAGCGACACCGCGUGCAGGAAGAAGGCCUUCGGGUUGUAAACUGCUUUUAUAGAGGAUCAAUUUAAUGAGCGUACUCUAUGAAUAAGAGGUUGCUAACUCUGUGCCAGCAGCCGCGGUAAUACAGAGACCUCAAGCGUUAUCCGGAUUAAUUGGGCGUAAAGGGUCCGUAGGGGGUUAAACAAGCUAAAUGUUAAAUAUACUGGCUUAACUAGUAUGCUGCAUUUAGAACUGUUUUGACUAGAACACAUCAGAGGUCAUUGGAACUCACAGUGUAGGGGUAAAAUCCGUUGAUAUUGUGGGGAACACCAAAGGCGAAGGCAUUUGACUGGGAUGUUGUUGACCCUGAGGGACGAAAGCUAGGGUAGCGAAUGGGAUUAGAUACCCCAGUAGUC
rnacentral:rRNA from 1 species